rnacentral:rRNA from 1 species
UACGUAGGGGGCAAGCGUUGUCCGGAUUUAUUGGGCGUAAAGCGCGCGCAGGCGGUUCUUUAAGUCUGAUGUGAAAGCCCACGGCUCAACCGUGGAGGGUCAUUGGAAACUGGAGAACUUGAGUACAGAAGAGGAAAGCGGAAUUCCACGUGUAGCGGUGAAAUGCGUAGAGAUGUGGAGGAACACCAGUGGCGAAGGCGGCUUUCUGGUCUGUAACUGACGCUGAGGCGCGAAAGCGUGGGGAGCAAACAGG